rnacentral:rRNA from 1 species
UACGUAGGGUGCAAGCGUUAAUCGGAAUUACUGGGCGUAAAGCGUGCGCAGGCGGUUUCGUAAGUCUGUCGUGAAAUCCCCGGGCUUAACCUGGGAAUGGCGAUGGAGACUGCGAGGCUAGAGUUUGGCAGAGGGGGGUAGAAUUCCACGUGUAGCAGUGAAAUGCGUAGAGAUGUGGAGGAACACCGAUGGCGAAGGCAGCCCCCUGGGUCAAAACUGACGCUCAUGCACGAAAGCGUGGGGAGCAAAC